rnacentral:misc_RNA from 1 species
GGAAAAUACCCAGGAAAAGCACUGGCAGUUCAUUUAUAAUACUACAAGUCAUCAAUUUCAAUUAGAUAUAUUAACUUACAGAAAGAUUCAUAAACCAUUUCUACACAAUCCCAUCUUCUAUGCCCAAAGAGAAAGGGGAAAAAUCUAAUAAAAGAAUUAUUUAUGAAUCCAAAUUGAAGCAGUAAGCCAAUUUGGGGUAAAAAGAAGAAAAAAAUAACAAACAAAGCUAUAGUACAUCAUCCACCAAGAAAUCCCAAUCCAAUUGAAGGAACAGAGAGAUCAGGACUCCGAUGGAACAUCGGAGUUAUAACCACUAGAAAUCGCAGCCGGAGUCGUGGAGUAAGACGUAGUAAAACCUGCUCCUCCUUCAUUGUGCCUGCCCCUUUUAACAAGAGAAGCAAAGGUUGAAGAAACAGACUGAAUUAGACCUUUGAAAAUCUUCACUUUUAUCUGGCCUCUCCUAGGAGGGAGGGAUUGCUGGUGGCGGCGUUGGUGCUGUGGGGUGGAGUUAGAGGAUGAAAGCUCCAUUUUCUUUAAGAUGGGUAGUGAUCAGAAUCUUGAAGAAACAGAGGAAAGCAGAACAGAGAGAGGAAACAGAGGCAAGAAGAGUCUCUCUGAGGUAAGCAGAGGGAGAGUGUAAGAGACCCAAAUUCUGAGCAAGAAGGAAGAGAAGAGUGCUUUUUGACGUAGAAACAGGUGACUGUGAAACCGCAGAGGCGAGAGUGGAUGAGCAUAUGAAGACGGUUUCCUUGGUCACCAAGUUUUGG